GGUUAAGUGACUAAGCGUACACGGUGGAUGCCUGGGCAGUCAGAGGCGAUGAAGGACGUACUAACUUGCGAUAAGCGCAGAUAAGGCAGUAAGAGCCGUUUGAGUCUGCGAUUUCCGAAUGGGGAAACCCAACUGCAUAAGCAGUUACUGUUAACUGAAUACAUAGGUUAACAGAGCAAACCGGGGGAACUGAAACAUCUAAGUACCCCGAGGA
rnacentral:rRNA from 1 species